rnacentral:rRNA from 1 species
UACGGAGGGUGCAAGCGUUAUCCGGAUUUACUGGGCUUAAAGGGUGUGUAGGCGGAUCUUUAAGUCAGGGGUGAAAUCCUGGAGCUCAACUCCAGAACUGCCUUUGAUACUGGGGAUCUCGAGUCCGGAAGAGGUGAGUGGAACUCCGAGUGUAGAGGUGAAAUUCGUAGAUAUUCGCAAGAACACCAGUGGCGAAGGCGGCUCACUGGCCCGGUACUGACGCUGAGGAGCGAAAGCGUGGGGAGCGAUCCGG